UUUCUCGGGGUCUUCGCAAUGGUCUAAAUCACUGCAGAAAGUAAGAAACUGUACAAAUAACAUCUUACCAUUCACAAUUUCUGCAUAAAGAUUCUACGCAAACUGCUUAGUCAACAGGAAAAAGGAUGCUCUAUCAAACAUACAAAAUACACAUGCACACAGGAAGCCAAGCAUGCAUGAAGGAGGGAAGGAAACUUUAUCCCUGAGGGAAGCAGCAGAUGAAAUGUGUUAUUUUUAGGUAGAUGGGACUUAGGCUGGUCAUGUACUUUUUAACUACUUCUGAAGGACCUUGGGAGCUUUAAUACCCAGAAAGAAACUGAAAGGAAAGACGGAUCUGUCCUGCUCUCUGCAAGCUGAGUAUCAGCUCUGGUGACAAGAAGCUAUGUAACAGUUUGCUCUCAUGGCAGAUGAGGCGAAUAGCGUUCAGGCUGCAUCGGAAAGAGCAUGCCCAAGCAGAUCGGGGAGGCUGUUAUCUCCAUCUACUGGAAAGAGUGAAUUUUCCCCUCACGCUGGUGCUGAAGGCAUUUAGCUUUGUCCCUGUUUACUACUUGAGGAAUGAGUGGUUACUAGUAUUCACUCACGUGCUUCUUGGCUUUGGAUUGCUCACGACUGUCAUAAUACGAGACCGGUGUUUUGGCAAAGCUGUGCACCUAGCCACGGUGGGACAGGGCCUGCUCUUCUUGUUCCCUGCAGCCGGGGUCACUUCUCUGCUCAUGUC